rnacentral:rRNA from 1 species
CGGUAAUACCAGCUCUCCGAGUGGUAGGGAUGAUUAUUGGGCUUAAAGCGUCCGUAGCCGGCCUGGCAAGUCUUCCGUUAAAUCCAGCAACCUAAUUGUUGGGCUGCGGGGGAUACUGUUAGGCUAGGGGGCGGGAGAGGCCGACGGUAUUCUCGGGGUAGGGGUGAAAUCUUAUAAUCCCGGGAGGACCACCAGUGGCGAAGGCUGUCGGCUAGCACGCGCCUGACGGUGAGGGACGAAAGCUGGGGGAGCGAACCGGAUUAGAUACCCGGGUAGUCCCUGCUGUAAACGAUGCGAGCUAGGUGUUGGGGCGGCUACGAGCCGCUUCAGUGCCGCAGCGAAGGCGUUAAGCUCGCCGCCUGGGGAGUACGGCCGCAAGGCUGAAACUUAA